rnacentral:rRNA from 1 species
GAUGAACGCUGGCGGCGUGCUUAACACAUGCAAGUCGAACGGAAAGGCUCCUGCUUGCAGGGGUACUCGAGUGGCGAACGGGUGAGUAACACGUGGGUGAUCUGCCCUGCACUUCGGGAUAAGCCUGGGAAACUGGGUCUAAUACCGGAUAGGACGAUGGUUUGGAUGCCAUUGUGGAAAGUUUUUCGGUGUGGGAUGAGCUCGCGGCCUAUCAGCUUGUUGGUGGGGUAAUGGCCUACCAAGGCGUCGACGGGUAGCCGGCCUGAGAGGGUGUACGGCCACAUUGGGACUGAGAUACGGCCCAGUCUCCUACGGGAGGCAGCAGUGGGGAAUAUUGCACAAUGGGCGCAAGCCUGAUGCAGCGACGCCGCGUGGGGGAUGACGGCCUUCGGGUUGUAAACUCCUUUCGCUAGGGACGAAGCGCAAGUGACUGUACCUGGAGAAGAAGCACCGGCUAACUACGUG